GGUGUGCCCAGGUGGGAGCAGGCUGGUGAGAGUACUAAGUGGAUUAGUCAGCAUUGGUCUCAUUGAACAGAUUGAGAAGCUUGCACUGAUUCACUCACUCAUCCAUCCAUUCAGGGGACUCCACCAAGCAUGCUCAGUCCCCCGGCAGAUGGCACACACCUGCAGAUUCCAAGGAUGAGCCCAGAAAUGAUCACGAUGUUCUCACCACCUCUCAGAGACGAGAAUGGAGAGGAGAUGGAACUCAUUUCUACAGGAUGAAAGGAAAUGAUUCAAAUUGUACCAAGUGCAAUUAAAGUUUAAUAUUAGAG
rnacentral:lncRNA from 1 species